rnacentral:misc_RNA from 1 species
GAUGAAGAACGUAGCGAAAUGCGAUAAGUAAUGUGAAUUGCAGAAUUCAGUGAAUCAUCGAAUCUUUGAACGCACAUUGCGCCCCUUGGUAUUCCGAGGGGCAUGCCUGUUCGAGCGUCAUUAUCACCCCUCAAGCUCAGCUUGGUGUUGGGGCCUGCUGCACUGGCAGCCCUUAAAAUCAGUGGCGGCGCCAUCUGGCUCUAAGCGUAGUAAUUCUUCUCGCUAUGGAGUCCUGGUGGAUGCUUGCCAUCAACCCCCAAUUUUUCUAUGGUUGACCUCGGAUCAGGUAGGGAUACCCGCUGAACUUAAGCAUAUCAAUAAGCGGAGGA